AACCGAGACUCGUGUUCGCCCUCCGGCACUCCCAUGGCGGAGAGCCAGGUGCCGACGCCGACCGGGAGCGUCCUGCCACUGUGAGCCGCCCGUGGGGCCACCGGAGGCGGACUAGUGUGCGCGAUGAGCGGCGGAGAAGUGGUGCUGCAGGGCUGGCUGAGGAAGUCCCCGCCGGAGAGGAAACUGCGGAGAUAUGCGUGGAAGAGGCGCUGGUUCAUCCUGCGCAGCGGGCGCAUGAGCGGCGACGCAGACGUGCUGGAGUACUACAAGAACCAGCACGCCAAGAAGCCCAUCAGGGUCAUCGACCUUCACGCCUGCCAGCAGGUGGACGCCGGCCUCACCUUCAAGAGGAAGGAGUUCCAGGACAGCUUCGUGUUCGACAUCAAGACCUCCGAGCGCACCUUCUACCUGGUGGCCGACACCCAGGACGACAUGAACAAGUGGGUGCGCUCCAUCUGCCAGCUGUGCGGCUUCAACCAGUCCGAGGACAACCAGCACGACGGCCGACAUCUUCCUCGUUCUGUCGGAGCAGACGCGGGUGGCGACUCCGUGGCCCCGCUGAGCGGCGGCGACCAUCAUCAUCAUCAUCAUCAUCGCAGGGCGGCGGCGGGGCCCGUCCACUCCAGCCAGCCGGUGCUGUUCACCUUCGACGUGCCCGCCCGCCACUCGUCCAGCAGCGCCCCCCAGGACUACCUGCUGCUGCACCAGUGCAUGAGCAGGAGGGCGGAGAGCGCACGCAGUGCCAGCUUCUCCCAGGCCACCAGAAGCCACGUGUUGAUGGGAAGCGACUCGGCGGUGCAGAGGUUGUCUCACGGUCUUAACGGGAUGGGCGCUCAGCUGCACGACUUCUACAGCCUCCCGAAGUCUGGCAAGCUCCACUCCCCGGCGCCGGAUGACUCCCCCGAGGAGGCCGGUUACGUCCUCCCUCGGGGUCUGGGCGGCGAGGCUGACGGCGGCCCGUGGGAGUCGUACCCGGAGGACGAGGACGUGUACACCUUCCAGACGCCGUGCAACGCUCUGGCCGCCGCGCAGCCAGGCGACAACUACGACCUCCCCACGCCGCCCGGGUCCUUCUACCAAAUACCGCGGACGCUGGACAAGAACCACAACGCGCUGACGGCACCUGGCUCGGAGUCGUCCUGCGCGCCGCCCCCUCCCAGGCCGCCCAAGCCCGGCGGCGAGCAGUGGGGGAGUCCGCGCUCGCUGGGGAGUCAGAACGGAGAGGCGGCGGUGGCGGUCAUCCCGCGGAGGAACACUCUGCCGGCCGUGGAGAACAUCCGACUGCACCGAGGAUCGUCGUUUGAAACCGCCGGCCAUCAGCGUCCUUUACUCUUCAACAGGUCGGGACAGUCGAUGGAGUCGGUGGACGACGGCUUCAGCUCCUACUUGAGAACCACAACCCCGCUGACCCGCUCGGACAGCGGUACCUCGGACGACAACUACGUGCCCAUGAACCCCGGCUCGUCGCCGCUGAGCGCCGCCCAGGCGGACAGUCCCAGGACCGCCUACAUCCCCAUGAGCCCCGGGCCACAGCACUUUGACUUCCCGGGCUUCUCCGCCACGCUGCCCGCCCGCAAGGGGAGCUCCGCCUCCUUGUGCCAGCGGCCCGGACGCCUCAGCGACGUCACGCCGCCGCCCAUCAACCGCAACCUCAAGCCCAACAGGAAGUCCAAACCGACACCUCUGGACCUGAAGAACAGCAGCUUGAUUGACGAGCUUCCCUUCAAGAGUCCCGUCACCACGUCUUGGACACGCCCCUUAUCCAACAUGGAGGCCGUGUCAUCACAGCGAUGUCGUCCAGUGUCCACACAAAGCGUCACCAGCACAGACUCUGCAGACAGCGAGGAGAACUACGUGGCCAUGCAGAACCCGGCGUCCACCUCGCCGGCCGUGAGCGCCAGCGGCAGCCCCGCCCUCCGCAAGAGCGGCAACGUGGACUACUUGGCCCUGGACUUCCAGCCCGCUUCUCCCUGCACGCACAGAAAACCGUCCACAUCGUCGGUGACAUCAGACGAGAAGGUGGACUACGUGCUGGUGGACAAGGAGAAGACCCAGGCGCUACAGAACACCAUGCAGGAGUGGACUGACGUGAGACAGUCCACUGAGCCCACCAAGGGGGUCAAGUCUUGACCCUGCGCCUGCCUGGAGGAAGAGGAGGAGGAGGAGAAGAAGCCAUAAGUGAGGUGUGCCAGGACGUGCAGCGAAGGUCGACCUCCCCUCUCUGGCAUGCACUGACCUCACCAAGAUGGCCGACCUCGCUGGCAUGCACUGACCUCACCAAGAUGGCCGACCUGCCUGACUGUAAAUCAGGACAAAUGCAAGCCAAGUAGGAUUAGUAUCGACAUGAUCGUCACUUAGCAUCGAAAUCGCCAUUUUUGUUGAACCCGGACUGACUAAAAGAAUCAUUUUAAUCAUCUUUUUGAUAAGAAAAGGGAUGAUUUUAACAAGUGUCCGUGAGUAAAAAAUGCCUUUGUUUGCCUAUUUCCUGUAACUCCUGUGAGGGGGAGGAGCCAUCAGUCAUUUCUUUGUGGGCAGGAUCAAGUUUGGACACCCCCGAGGUACAGGUACUUAAUAACAAUUGGAGGUAUUUGGAAGCUAAUUCUAAUAAGCCACUCAAAUGUAAAAAAAAAAAAUCCCACUUAAUAAUUGUGAAAAUGUUUUUCAAAAAGGCCUAAAAAACGUUUUUGUUCGAUACAAUCUUUAAAAUAACACAGCAAAGUUUGACCUCCCCUCGCUGGCAUGCACUGACCUCACCUAGAUGGCCGACCUCGCUGGCAUGCACUGACCUCACCAAGAUGGCCGACCUGCCUGACUGUAAAUCAGGACAAAAAAGAGCCAAGUAGGAUUAGUAUCGACAUGAUCGUCACUUAGCACUAAAAUAAUUAUUUGAAUCAUCUUUUUGAUAAGAAAAGGAAUUAUUUUAACAAUGGUCCGUGAGUAAAAAAUGCCUUUGUUUGCCUAUUUCCUGUAUCUCCUGUGAGGGGGAGGAGCCAUCAGUCAUUUCUUUGUGGGCAGGAUUAAGUUUGGACACCCCUGAGGUACAGGUGGAGGUAUUUGGAAGCUAUUUGCUAAUAAACCACUGAAAUUAUUCCUUUUUCCCCACGUAAUAAUUGUGAAAAUGUUUUUCAAUAAGGUCUAAAAAAAAAUUUGGUCCAUACAAUCUUUAAAAUAACACAGCGAAGGUCGACCUCCCCUCGCUAGCAUGCACUGACCUCACCAAGAUGGCCGACCGAGCUCGCAUGCACUGACCUCACCAAAAUGGCCGACCUGCCUGACUGUAAAUCAGGACAAAUACGAGCCAAGUAGGAUUAGUAUUUCGAAAUUGCUCUUUUUGUUGAUCCCUGACUGACUAAAAUAAACAUUUUAAUCAUCUUUUCGAUAAGUAAAGGAAUGAUUUUAACAAGUGUCUGUGAGUAAAAAAAUGCCUUUGUCAUUUCACACGAUGUUUGCCUACUUCCGGUAACUCCUGUGAGGGGGAGGAGCCAUCAGUCCUUUCUUUGUGGGCUGGAAGCAGCCGCUUUACUUUUCUACCAUUUCUACCGCUUUUCUAUCUUUUCUACUCCCGAGUGCACGCGGGCGAGGAGGACGACGCUGCAGCUCCUUUUUUUUUUUUUUUUUUUAGCGAGAAAAAAGUCAACACUGAAGGAAAAGACGAGUCCAUUGUUGUGUUACAUUGUUUUGUGUCCUACUGUAAACAUUGUGUAUUAAUUUAUUACCGCCCCUCGUACUUCCGCGGGGGUCAAAUCAUUAGGUACAUGUGUCAACGCACGCGAUGACGACCACCACGUAUCCUCCCCUGGCAUCACUUCAAGAAUGCAAAGACAAUUGUGGGUAGGAAUCAAACUGAGAGCUCGCUGCCAAAACAUUACAAAGUUGUGCGAUACAGGCGGUAUCAAUUUGGUGUGAUAUCGCGAUAAUGCAUGACACGUUCUGGUUGUGUGGCAAGUUUGAUAAGCGAACGACGGCGUCCUCAACGCAAUGUCGCGUACUCGGCUAACGUCCCUUUACAGUGUGAAGCCAUCAUUAAUCCAUGGCGGCGAACGAAGUAUGUUUUUUUACAAGUAGCGUUAUCACUGGUGGACGAGGACUCGCUGAACGUAAUGCCAUAAUGCCAUGCUAACCGCUAAUAUAGUGCUCCUGAUUGGCGACAGGGGCGGGUGGAUGGAUACAAAUAUAGACAGUAACGAUGGUCGAUACCACCAAGAUUAGAUUGAUAUUUUUUAUCGUCCCAAAGUUGUUUUUUGUAUCGUUUUUGUUGUUGUUUACAAACUCAGGAAAUAAGUUCUUGGACCAAGGAGGACUUUCAGGGCAAAAACCAAAGGAUUUGAAAUCAGAGCCAUAAUUGUUGUUUAUGUUUACUUAUUUAUUUGCACUGUUGACUUUAUUCAGACUCCAAUAUCACAUGUAAGAGUAAAUACUUUAAAUACACUGUAAACAAUAAGAUUUUACGGUAAAUUUCUAGCAGCUCGUCGCUAAAUUUUUAUUGUAAAAA